rnacentral:rRNA from 1 species
CACGUAGGGUGCGAGCGUUGUCCGGAAUUAUUGGGCGUAAAGAGCUCGUAAGCGGUGUGUCGCGUCGGCCGUGAAAACCUGCAGCUUAACUGUGGGCUUGCGGUCGAUACGGGCAUCACUGGAGUUCGGCAGGGGAGACUGGAAUUCCUGGUGUAGCGGUGAAAUGCGCAGAUAUCAGGAGGAACACCGGUGGCGAAGGCGGAUCUCUGGGCCAUAACUGACGCUGAGGAGCGAAAGCAUGGGGAGCGAACAGG